GGUCUGGACUCUAUUGAAUCUUUGCUUUCAAAGAGACGGGAUGAGAAGAAGAGGAUUUCCAAAGUCCCUCUCAGUUUUCAUUAGAGGAUGCUGCCAAUUGUACUGAAUAUAAAGCAUGUGAGGAGCUUGUGACUAAUAAGUAAGAACCAACCUGUGAUACAGUAGGGCUGUUCUCCGGUCCAGGAGCCGUCAUCCAGACAGCUUCGCUCUGUUGAACCGUACAGUAUGAAGCCUUCGCUGCAGGAGAAGCUCAGAGUGGUUCCUUUCAGUUCAGUCUUCGACACUCACAGCCAGCUCCAAAAUUGAAGAUUUCCUCCGGCGUGGCGUCAGCCUGGGAGAUG